rnacentral:rRNA from 1 species
UACGUAGGUGGCAAGCGUUGUCCGGAUUUACUGGGCGUAAAGCGCGCGCAGGCGGAUUGGUCAGUCCGGGGUGAAAUCUCACGGCUCAACUGUGAGCGGUCCCCGGAUACUGCCAGUCUCGAGGUGUCUAGAGGAGAGCGGAAUUCCCGGUGUAGUGGUGGAAUGCGUAGAUAUUGGGAAGAACACCAGUGGCGAAGGCGGCUCACUGGCCCGUAACUGACGCUGAGGUGCGAAAGCGUGGGGAGCAAACAGG